AGAAUUGGAGUCUAGAAGGGGAGAGCCUGGAAUCUCUGGCUUUAACAAGUCUCUCGUGUUUGGGAAACAUUUCCAGUUUGGUUGAGAAGCAAUUUGGACAUUUUUCUGUAGCCUGUCUGAAUUGACAGCCUCCAGCUGUGUUGCUAAGCAGUCUGUGGAUGGUCAUGAAGCUAUCUAUAAAAGAGAGCAAUUCACCCAGGUAAUGAUCUGUGGAAUUUCUCCAAAUCCCAGGCAGAAGUCAGAAGAGUGACCAAGAGUGAAGGUUCCAGAGAAGAUGAAUGUCAGGUUAUAGAUAUGAUAGAGUCCAUCUAUGGAGACAAGACUGAAUAAAAAUGGGUGAGGAGGCUAUAGCCCCAGGGCAUGUGCUUAUUCAGAGCCUAUGACCUCCACUUUAGACUAUAUUUGAGUUAUCCUGGAACUCCUUAUCCAAAUGGCUGGAAGCCUGCACCCAGAGUCAACAUGGUCCUCUUCUUCCUGGAUGUCCUCCCAAGGGCAGACCAUGCUACUGGUAUGUGCACCUGUAGAUACAAGAGUGACCACAGGAUGGAUAUCUGGAGAAGUGUGGAUGAAGGUUGGCUUUGUGAAAUUGGGGUGUGCCUAUGGAUACGUUUGAGGCACCAUGCAUUGCAAGAAAAACCUGAUAGUGAGAAGAGAAAGGGGGUGAGAGGGUGGGCCAUGGAACUAGGGUCUCUAGAUAUACUUUUACCUCAGGCCCUGAAAAUAUUGGGAGAAGUCCUAAACUUGGAACAAUGUCAGUGUCUUUGUCAGAGAAUUGGUGCAUGAAAUGUGGAUGAGGAUGUUCAGAGAUCAAGUCUGGCUUGAUGGAUUUCAGUGAAUUGAGAUAUAGUUGGAUUUGGAGAGAUUUUGCAGGUGGCCUUCAAGCUCCUAGGAACCAACUACUCAUGAGGGAAGAUUUUAAGUUUGCAACUUACUAGAAUUUUCCCAGCAUGUUAAUUUCCCCAUAAUUCUCCAGGAUAUAUUAGGAAGAGACUGAUACAUGGAAAGUGAUUUUAAUAUUUAUAUUUAGUCCCUGGGAUUUCUAAAAAGACCAACCCUUUUUGUGCAUGCUGGAGGAUGUUUCAAAAAUCUUUAGGUAUGAGAGUAACAUGAAAGCUCAUAGUAGCUUUUUUUUCAUAAGUGUACAGUGAUAAUGUCAUUGCUGUGAUGGCUAAUGGACUGUAAGCUUGUGUUUUAUUGGGUUUCAAAAACUCUUGGUUUUAAUUUCUAAUAUAAUAAGUAUCAAUAUAUAACCCAAAAAACAAAGUUUUUUGUGGUAUGCAAUAAUUUUUAAGAUCUAAAAGUUUGAGAAUCGCUGGGUUUCUGUUUCUCACCAUGACACUAAGAGACAAAUCACUGCUCAGAUACACCAGUGUUUUGCUAACAGCUAUAAGAAGGGGACCAACAGCCUUGUAAUUUUAGGGCUGCCCAGUAAAGUGGUGGAAUACUACUUUUCUAUUGCCACCCACCACUAAAGCCACUGUGAAAAACAAAACAAGACAAAUCAAGGCAAGUCACUAAAGUAAUUACUGCCAACUGUUGACUCUCUACUCCCAAUUUUAGUUGUCAGGAAUCAGAACAGAAGAAGGUCCUUGACCCUUACCCAGGAGACAUUUGUUGGGCAGUAUUCCUGACCCCUUGGGAAAGAGAGAGGACAGUGAGGUAAUGAUUCAGGGGUUGGAGAUGAGGCCACUGAUGUCUCAUACUGGAAAGUUGGUGCAUAUUUUUGCAAGUCCUAUCUAGUGUCCUUUGAUCUUGAAGGUAUGUGAAGGACUUCUCACCUGUGGGAAAACAAGCUACCACUAAAUACAGAGGGAGACUCUUAUUCUGAAGAGGACCCUGGUGAAUGAAUGGAAUAUUUUAGAUGGGGUGGCAGUGGAGAGUUGUGAGAAGGAACAGAGUAAAAUAAGAUAUGGAUCUGUUUGCCAUCUCAUGCUAUUCCUGGGGUGCUAUGGGUAGAAGCCAUACAAAAAAUUGGAUUCAUAGUGAGACUGUUUCUUGGGUCCCACCCCUGAAGAAGUACACAGAUAGAUCACCCGAACAAUUGUGCUCUCCUUUAGUCUCUAAAAAAAUAAUUAUUGGAAGAAACAGUGAUCUUUAUAAGGGAAUAUAAGGAUGUUUUCACAGGGAGGGAAACAAUUUUCUUUUCUGGCUUACUCUAUCUUCCUUCCAGUGUUAUCUGUUUAGCAGAUAUACUAUUUUGAAAUAAUCUGAGAUAUUUUCCAUGCCUCUUAAUUCUUGCCAUCUCAGCCUUUCAUACAUUGAAGGGAGCAGAACUCAGCCAGCAAUAACAAUACAAAAUAAUGAUAAUGACUAACAUUUACAUAGUGCUGCUUACUACAUG
rnacentral:lncRNA from 1 species